ensembl:lncRNA
UUUGAAGUGAUUUAAAUUGAUGUAUUUUUCUCCAAUGGACCAAGCUACUAUGUAACAGGAAGAACUAUGAGAAAUCUGUAGCUAUUAUGAAAGCCUAAUGGACUAUGUUCAGCAUUGCACUUCUUCCCAGCUAUCCCUUUCAGGGAAAAAAAAUGCCCAGUAUUUCUCUCUGAGCAGCUGCAUUUCACCUCUUACCCUUGUACGCUCUCACAGUCAAAGUCUUUUCUCCAUGCGUAAGUCAGGCCGUGAGGGAUGAACUGCUCAGACAUAAUGGUGGGAUGUAGAAAAUCCCAGUCUCUGCCCAAAGUUCCAGGAGGUUUUUGUUUGGAAACCUACUGUGCAUCGUUCUUUAAGAAAGAGCGGAAUAUCUAUGAAGCUGUUAUUGCUGAAGUUUUGUGUAAAAUCUGAAUUAGAAUAGAAAAUUUGAAGAAUAAAUAAUAAGGAAAUGGUUAUGUGUGGGAAGAAUUAAAGCAGCCAUUAUGUUGGUUGUUUUUGUAAGAGCUGGAAUUUAUUUCCAGCCUGUUUAUGAGAAUUUUUGUGAUGUCGUUCUCUUGUGCAAUCAAUAUCUUCUAAAAACUAAACACUGAGGGGUUCAACAUGGCUCAGACAUGGUCCUGGCCACUGCUAUUUUUUUGGCUUCAGAAAAAGAAGUAGGUCAAGCAUUGUUUAAUUAAAAAAAAAAUAAUCUUAUCUAUUACUUUAUGUUAUCUGACUGUCUGUACAUACUAGCAGUAGGGAAGCAGACCACGUUAGCAACAGAAUUAAAUGAUGUUGUAUAUGUUGGCAAAGGGAAUUCCUAAUUAUCCUCUCUAUUCUGCUGGAGGAUUCUCUUUCUGAGGCAAAACUCUAGUGAGAUUUCUUUGGAAUGUUAUGGGCUCUGACUGGAGAAAAUUGAUGGCUUCCGAUUUCCAGCCCACCACUUGGACAAGAACCUACAGUUUUCUGCAGAAGAAGCCUGCACAGAUGUGCAUAACAAUGUCUUGCCAGCUAUGAAUUGGAAUGAAAUAUCCCCCAUGUCUCUUGCUGACCCUGGACUGCUGAUGGGGCUUCCUUGUGCGACUGCAGAUAGCCCCUUUGCCCAUGGACUGGGCUGGUGGCAAAAAGCUCUGGUGACAAAGAUGCUACUAUAGCCUUAGUCUGCCCCUGCAAGUGUGUAGCAAGUCUUGGGCUUCCCAAUGAAAAGUUACUGGGAUCUGCAUCUUGUUCCUCAGAUGAGCUGUCUUGUGUCACUUGGGUAAGUUAAUGGGGG